GUAGGGCAGAAUCCUGAAGAGAAAAGCAGACUGGAGGGAAUGCAUGGACCGCGGUGGGUGCCAGAGUAAGACCAUGGCGGCAACUUGUUCAAAUUGGGGAUGCGCUUUCCCUAAGGCCCAAAGCCAGUCAAUUCCAAGUCCCAUCUCAUCCGGUAUGGGAGAAACCAUCUGUGACAAAUUUUAUAUAGUUUUGUUUCUUCUAGAAGACCAC
rnacentral:misc_RNA from 1 species